rnacentral:lncRNA from 1 species
UUUCACCUUUCAUAUAAGUGGCGCGCAAGUGUUCAGCUCCAUACAACAACUUCCCUCUAACUUGCCUCCAACAACAUUAGUCCAAGUGUUUGGGCACAUAGGCUCAUCAACUUGGCGAAUAUAAAUUUAUAAAAUACGAUUGAUAUUUCAAUAAUUUCAUAUUUUUUUGGAGCGGUCGUGGUCCACCUAGUUCCGCCUCUGCAUAACACAUUUAAAAAUGCAAAGUUCAAGCAACACUAUGAAAAGUGUAUUGAUUGUAAGACUCAUUUUACCGUUGUCGUAACAACUUUUGGUUCACUGAGUUAUUUUUUGAAUUUUGAUGGGUUGAUCACUUUUGAUUCGAGAUCGGGAAUUAGUGUCUAAUAGCGUCUUUAUGGGUCUUUCUAAGAAUAAGAUUAAAAGUGAAACUCUACUAGGUAGUGUCCACGUCGGUGUCUGAUACUCGUACAAUACGUGUCAGACGAGUGUCUUAAAAAAAUUGGUUUCUCUUUUGCUUCGACACUUUUUGGAUCGGUGUCACUCUCUCAUACGACAGGUGUCAGACAACUCAUACAAGUGGUCCAAAACAAUUAGUUUGUUUUUGUAUUUUCAUUCAUUGGUGUACGCUUAUAUACGAUGUCUUUUUUUUGUAGCCUCUCAUUUACUGGUUUUUGCUCGUCUUGUGUAGAAACCUAAUUUUUAUUAAUAAUAUAUUUGCUGUUCAAAA